CCUACGGGAGGCUGCAGUGGGGAAUAUUGCACAAUGGGGGAAACCCUGAUGCAGCGACGCCGCGUGCGUGAAGAAGUAUCUCGGUACGUAAAGCUCUAUCAGCAGGGAAGAAAAUGACGGUACCUGACUAAGAAGCCCCGUCUAACUACGUGCCAGCAGCCGCGGUAACACGUAGGGGGCAAGCGUUAUCCGGAUUUACUGGGCGUAAAGGGAGCGUAGACGGCAGCACAAGUCUGGAGUGAAAUCCCGGGGCUUAACCCCGGAACUGCAUUGGAAACUGUGCGGCUGGAGUGCAGGCGGGGGAAGCGGAAUUCCUAGGGUAGCGGUGAAAUGCGUAGAUAUGAGGAGGAACACCGGUGGCGAAGGCGGCUUACUGGACUGUAACUGACGUUGAGGCUCGAAAGCGUGGGGAGCGAACAGGAUUAGAUACCCCAGUAGUC
rnacentral:rRNA from 1 species